UAUCAGCAAGGUCUUUAUGACCUGCAUCUUGUGUUGACCUCCUAUCUCACCCUGUGACUCAGAAUGCCUUAACCAUCUGGGGAUGCAGCCCAGUAAGUCUCAGCCUCAUUUUACCUGGCCCCUACUCAAGAUGGGGUUGCUCUGGUUCAAACGCCUCUGACAGGGUGACAACUGUGACCACAACAGAUUCACAAACAUGACAUUUUCAGAGAGAGGAAGCCUCCCCUGCUCUUAGUCUAUGUGAUUCGGACACAGCCAACUACAUUUCCCAGAUCCAGAAAUGAACACGCCAUUCCAAGUAAAGCCAAUGAGAGACAGCUGCAGGACUUUUGCUGGAACUAUUGGGAAAGUGGUGUUUCUUUUUCUGCUAUGGUUACUUAUCUGCUAUGCUCUAAGCCUGGAACUGCUGGAGGUCAUCUUUGCUGCAUGAAAAUGAAGUCAAUAUUGAGGACAGCAGAGAUGUGGACCCUGAGACCAGGGAGGUUGCGUGGCAUCAUUACAUCAGAAGGGGAGUGGUCUGAAUCCACUCCUCCCCUUCCAGGGCAGGAAGUCAACAGAGAAGGGCUCUGUGGUGGUUGUGCUCACCCCGCAUCAAGGUUGCUAAGCUGCUGUGAUGGAAUCCUGGAGCUGCUGAAGGACACCUCAUCUCUUUGUGGGAAGCAUCUGCUUGAGGAUUAAGGGAAUGCAGAAAAAAAGUGGAGUAGAGAGAUGGAGGAAGAUGACUUUCGAGGACAUUGUGUGAGCACCUGGAUCUAACUGUGCCUGAAGCAAAACUCAAACCCUGGACUCUCAAUGUAUUGGCUCUCAGUUCCAAGACCCAAUAAAUUCCUUCUUAGCUUAGAAUGCUUUGCUCAGAUGUCUGUUACUUCCAGCCAAAUGUGUUUUAAUACAGAAAGCUCUUGGGGGCUCAAAUAACAGAAAGGGAAGCUAUAUGAGAAGCUGAGG
rnacentral:lncRNA from 1 species